ACGAACGCUGGCGGCGUGCCUAACACAUGCAAGUCAACUUGACUGAAGGAGCAAUCUGACAGUAGAGUGGCGCAAGGGUGCGUAACGCGUAAGUAACUUGCCCCAAGGUAAGGAAUAACGUCGAGAAAUCGGCGCUAAUACCUCAUAAUGCAGCGGAUCCGCAUGGAUAUGUUGUUAAAGGUUUACCGCCUUGGGAUAGGCUUGCGUCUGAUUAGCUAGUUGGUGUGGUAACGGCACACCAAGGCUACGAUCAGUAACUGGUCUGAGAGGAUGAUCAGUCACACUGGAACUGAGACACGGUCCAGACUCCUACGGGAGGCAGCAGUGAGGAAUAUUGGGCAACGCUCGAAAGAGUGACCCAGCAACGCCGCGUGGAGGAUGAAGGUAUUCUAUAUCGUAAACUCCUGUGAGAGCAGACGAAAGACAGAUUAUUAAUCUGGAUGACUGUAUGCUCAGAGGAAGCCCCGGCUAACUACGUG
rnacentral:rRNA from 1 species